rnacentral:rRNA from 1 species
AUUGAACGCUGGCGGCAUGCUUUACACAUGCAAGUCGAACGGGCUUGGGGGCUUGCUCCCAAGUUAGUGGCGAACGGGUGAGUAAUACAUCGGAACGUACCGUGUAGUGGGGGAUAACGUAGCGAAAGUUACGCUAAUACCGCAUACGAUCUACGGAUGAAAGCAGGGGACCUUCGGGCCUUGUGCUAUACGAGCGGCCGAUGUCUGAUUAGCUAGUUGGUGAGGUAAAGGCUCACCAAGGCGACGAUCAGUAGCGGGUCUGAGAGGAUGAUCCGCCACACUGGGACUGAGACACGGCCCAGACUCCUACGGGAGGCAGCAGUGGGGAAUUUUGGACAAUGGGCGAAAGCCUGAUCCAGCCAUGCCGCGUGUCUGAAG